ensembl:snoRNA Small nucleolar RNA SNORD113/SNORD114 family
UGGACCACAUAACAGUCGUCAUGACUGGUGGCAUAUGAGUUGUAGAUGAUGAAGAAAAGUGUCUGAGGCACUAAGAUCCAA